rnacentral:rRNA from 1 species
UGUAAAACGACCGGCCAGUGAAUUGUAAUACGACUCACUAUAGGGCGAAUUGGGCCCUCUAGAUGCAUGCUCGAGCGGCCGCCAGUGUGAUGGAUAUCUGCAGAAUUCGCCCUUCAGGCCUAACACAUGCAAGUCGAACGGGAUUUAUCAGCUUGCUGAUAAUGAGAGUGGCGCACGGGUGAGUAACGCGUAUGCAACCUACCUUUUACAGUGGGAUAGCCCAGAGAAAUUUGGAUUAAUACCGCAUAGUAUGCACGAUCGGCAUCGGUUGUGUAUUAAACAUUUAUGGGUAAGAGAUGGGCAUGCGUUCUAUUAGUUAGUUGGAGUGGUAACGGCACCCCAAGACAGCGAUAGAUAGGGGCCCUGAGAGGGGGAUCCCCCACACUGGUACUGAGACACGGACCAGACUCCUACGGGAGGCAGCAGUGAGGAAUAUUGGACAAUGGGCGCAAGCCUGAUCCAGCCAUGCCGCGUGCAGGAAGACGGCCCUAUGGGUUGUAAACUGCUUUUAUACAGGAAGAAACACCCCCACGUGUGGGGGCUUGACGGUACUGAGGAAUAAGAUCGGC